GACGAACGCUGGCGGCGUGCUUAACACAUGCAAGUCGAACGCCCCGCAAGGGAGUGGCAGACGGGUGAGUAACGCGUGGGAACGUGCCCUUCGCUUCGGAAUAGUCCCGGGAAACGUAGGGUUUAAUACCGAAUACGCCGUAUUGGGAAAGAUUUAUCGGCGAAGGAUCGGCCCGCGUUAGAUUAGCUAGUUGGCGGUGUAAUGGACCACCAAGGCUACGAUCUAUAGCUGGUCUGAGAGGAUGAUCAGCCACACUGGGACUGAGACACGGCCCAGACUCCUACGGGAGGCAGCAGUGGGGAAUUUUGGACAAUGGGGGCAACCCUGAUCCAGCCAUGCCGCGUGAGUGAAGAAGGCC
rnacentral:rRNA from 1 species